GCUGGCGGCACGCCUAACACAUGCAAGUCGAACGCAGUAGCAAUACUGAGUGGCAGACGGGUGAGUAUAAUGUGGGAAUCUGCCUUUUGGUUCGGAAUAACACGGGGAAACUUGUGCUAAUACCGGAUAAGCCUUCACAGGGAAAGUUUUAAUGCCAAAAGAUGAGCCCGCACUUGAUUAGCUAGUUGGUAAGGUAAUGGCUUACCAAGGCAACGAUCAAUAGCUGUUCUUAGAGGAAGACCAGCCACAUUGGGACUGAGACACGGCCCAAACUCCUACGGGAGGCAGCAGUGGGGAAUCUUGCACAAUGGGGGAAACCCUGAUGCAGCGAUGCCGCGUGAGUGAAGAAGGCCCUUGGGUUGUAAAACUCUUUCGUCGAGGAAGAAAAUGACUGUACUCGAAUAAGAAGGUCCGGCUAACUUCGUGCCAGCAGCCGCGGUAAUACGAAGGGACCUAGCGUAGUUCGGAAUUACUGGGCUUAAAGAGUUCGUAGGUGGUUAAAAAAGUUGAUGGUGAAAUCCCAAGGCUCAACCUUGGAACUGCCAUCAAAACUUUUUAGCUAGAGUAUGAUAGAGGAAAGCGGAAUUUCUA
rnacentral:rRNA from 1 species